rnacentral:rRNA from 1 species
UACAGAGGGGGCAAGCGUUGUUCGGAAUUACUGGGCGUAAAGGGCGCGUAGGCGGCCUUCUAAGUCGAACGUGAAAUCCCCGGGGCUCAACCCGGGAACUGCGUCCGAUACUGGAAGGCUUGAAUCCGGGAGAGGGAUGCGGAAUUCCAGGUGUAGCGGUGGAAAUGCGUAGAUAUCUGGAGGAAUACCGGUGGCGAAGGCGGCAAUCCUGGACCGGCAUUGACGCUGAGUGAGCGAAAGCUAGGGGAGCAA